AUAUAGCUCAGUUGGUAGGGCGCCUGCCUUGUAAGCAGGAUGUCGUGGGUUCAACUCCUACUGUCGGCUCCA
rnacentral:tRNA from 1 species